rnacentral:rRNA from 1 species
UACGUAGGGGGCAAGCGUUGUCCGGAAUCAUUGGGCGUAAAGAGCGUGUAGGCGGCCCGGUAAGUCCGCUGUGAAAGUCCAGGGCUCAACCCUGGGAUGCCGGUGGAUACUGCCGGGCUAGAGUCCGGAAGAGGCGAGUGGAACUCCUGGUGUAGCGGUGGAAUGCGCAGAUAUCAGGAAGAACACCAACGGCGAAGGCAGCUCGCUGGGACGGUACUGACGCUGAGACGCGAAAGCGUGGGGAGCGAACAGG